GGCGGGGUAGCUCAGUCGGUCAGAGCGCACGACUCAUAAUCGUGAGGUCGCGGGUUCAAACCCCGCCCCCGCUACAA
rnacentral:tRNA from 3 species